rnacentral:misc_RNA from 1 species
ACCUACUGUUUAAUUUUGAGGGUUCGUUUUUACGAAUACUCAAAAUUAGCACUUUAAGCAACGGGAUUUAUCCGUUGGCGCCGUGCUUUAGCACUUUUAGCAACAGAAUAAACUGAACGCAUGUGAAGUUUGUUUGUUGGCGCCGUGCUUUAGCACUUUAAGCAACGGAAUUUAUUCGUUGGCGCUGUGCGUUAGCACUUUGAAAACUGCAUAUAUAUUUAGUGAUAUGACAUCUAAUUUGUAAUAUAUAAAGCUGAUAACUUUUUAAAAUUAUCGAAGUUGAUAGCUUCUAAUCUAUCAAACCUUUUUAACUGGUCAA